CCUGGGGAGUACGGUCGCAAGAUUAAAACUCAAAGGAAUUGACGGGGACCCGCACAAGCGGUGGAUGAUGUGGAUUAAUUCGAUGCAACGCGAAAAACCUUACCUACCCUUGACAUGGCUGGAAUCCUCGAGAGAUUGGGGAGUGCUCGAAAGAGAACCAGUACACAGGUGCUGCAUGGCUGUCGUCAGCUCGUGUCGUGAGAUGUUGGGUUAAGUCCCGCAACGAGCGCAACCCUUGUCAUUAGUUGCUACGAA
rnacentral:rRNA from 1 species